rnacentral:misc_RNA from 1 species
GAUGAAGAACGCAGCGAAAUGCGAUACGUAAUGUGAAUUGCAGAAUUCAGUGAAUCAUCGAGUCUUUGAACGCACAUUGCGCCCCCUGGUAUCCCGGGGGGCAUGCCUGUCCGAGCGUCAUUGCUGCCCUCAAGCACGGCUUGUGUGUUGGGCCUCCGUCCUCCUCCCGGGGGACGGGCCCGAAAGGCAGCGGCGGCACCGCGUCCGGUCCUCGAGCGUAUGGGGCUUCGUCACCCGCUCUUGUAGGCCCGGCCGGCGCUUGCCGACACAUCAAUCUUUUUUCCAGGUUGACCUCGGAUCAGGUAGGGAUACCCGCUGAACUUAAGCAUAUCAAUAAGCGGAGGA